rnacentral:tRNA from 1 species
GCUCACGUAGCUCAAAGGAUAGAGCUUUUCUACAAUAAACUAACCGGUUCAAAUCCGGUCGUGAGCG